rnacentral:rRNA from 1 species
GGUGAGUACUGGUCUUGGUGGGGACUUUACCUCUUGGUGAGUGGGCAUUUCCUUUAUUGGAUGUGUUCAGAACCAGGACAUUUACUUUGAGAAAAUUAGAGUGUUCAAGCAGCGAUUGCCCGAAUAUACUAGCAUGGAAUAAUAGAAUAGGACGUGCGCUCCUGAUUCGUUGGUUUCUAGAGCGCGUAAUGAUUGAUGGCGGUAGUUGGGGGUAUUUGUAUUCAGCUGCUAGAGGUGAAAUUCUUGGAUUUGCUGAGGACAAACUACUGCGAAAGCAUUUACCAAGAUGCACGCUUCGGUCAAGCACGAAGAAUGGGGGGUCAAAAACGAUCAGAUACCGUUGUAGUCCCAUUAGUAAACGAUGCCGACUAGGGAUUGGACAAGAAUAUUAAUGACUUGUCCAGCACCUGAAGAGAAAUCUUUAAGUUUAGGUUCGGGGGGGAGUAUGGUCGCAAGGCUGAAACUUAAAGGAAUUGACGGAAGGGCACCACCAGGUGUGGAGCCUGCGGCUUAAUUUGACUCAACACGGGGAAACUCACCAGGUCCAGACACAAUUAGGAUUGACAGAUUGAUAGCUCUUUCAUGAUCUUGUGGUUGGUGGUGCAUGGCCGUUCUUAGUUGGUGGAGUGAUUUGUCUGGUUAAUUCCGAUAACGAACGAGACCUUAACCUGCUAAAUAGCCCAGCUGGCUUUUGCUGGUUGCUGGCUUCUUAGAGGGACUAUCGG